UUAGAGCAAUUUCAACCUAUUCUGCAUGGAGUGUGCUUGAUAUAGGAAGCAGAAGCAUGGAAGGGGAACAUGCCAGUAGAAGGAAAGACAACUCAGCCUUGGAAUCGUGCUGUCAAUAUGGGUUAAUUUUCGAUCUAUAUAUUCUGAAUUGAAGUGUGCUUAAUGUAUAAUUAUAUUUGGUUAUCCACAGUAGUUAACCAAUGCAGAUAUUGAACAAAAUCAUGAAUCCUCAGUGUUCAGUUUUUCCAUCCACUGAUACAAGUAAAUGCAAGUCACGAGAAAGUUCUUGGUGUUUUCACUUCUCUUGACGAAAAAGAAACUUAGCCAUCAAAUUUUCAGUUCGGGAAGCAGACCAGGAUGGACCAGUACUUUGUGAAGGCCAACCACUGAUCGUAUUCUUUAGAUGCCUAAAUAAACAACUUUCUUCUUAAUCAGCUUAUGGGCCUUUCUCUUUAUGGCAAUUAAAGAAUCACGGUUCAUCCUUGCAUGGCUCACACAAGAGAUCAAGAGGCGGCAACCUCUUUAGUGUGCUGAAUCAAGACUGAAGGACAUUCUUAGCAGCAGAAAUUGGUGUCACGGCUAGAAGUGGAGAUGCACAAUCUGUUAUUUUCUCAUGGAAGUAUAUACUAUUAAAUUAUUAGAUACACAGG